GACGAACGCUGGCGGCGUGCCUAAUACAUGCAAGUAGAACACACAGUUUAUACCGUAGCUUGCUACACCAUAAACUGUGAGUUGCGAACGGGUGAGUAACGCGUAGGUAACCUGCCUGGUAGCGGGGGAUAACUAUUGGAAACGAUAGCUAAUACCGCAUAAUAUUGAUUAUUGCAUGAUAAUUGAUUGAAAGAUGCUAUUGCAUCACUACCAGAUGGACCUGCGUUGUAUUAGCUAGUAGGUGAGGUAACGGCUCACCUAGGCGACGAUACAUAGCCGACCUGAGAGGGUGAUCGGCCACACUGGGACUGAGACACGGCCCAGACUCCUACGGGAGGCAGCAGUAGGGAAUCUUCGGCAAUGGACGAAAGUCUGACCGAGUAACGCCGCGUGAGUGAAGAAGGUUUUCGGAUCGUAAAGCUCUGUUGUAAGAGAAGAACGGGUGUGAGAGUGGAAAGUUCACACUGUGACGGUAUCUUACCAGAAAGGGACGGCUAACUACGU
rnacentral:rRNA from 1 species